GUGAAAUUGUUGAAAGGGAAACGUUUGACACCAGUCAUGUGGGUGGAAAAUCAGUCUUUUGCAUUGGGGAGUUGUAAGGGUUCGGACCGCAAGGCCGGCUUUUGCUUCAUCUUUGGUGUAAGUGAUGCACUUUUUCAUCUACAGGUCAACAUCAGUUUCUUUUGCUGGACAAAACUCCGAGAGAAGGUAGCAGCUUAGGCUGUGUUAUAGCUCUGGAGCGAUACAGUGAAGGGGACUGAGGUUUUCGCAGCGUGUGCUUUCGGGCAAGGCUGGAUGGGUGCUAUGGGAUCGUUCGGGGUACAAUGCCUGGCAUUUUGCUUCGUGUCUUUUCUAUACUCGCUCAACUCAGCUCUUCCACGCUUAGGAUGUUGACUUAAUGGUUUUAAACGACCCGUCUUGAAACACGGACCAAGGAGUCUAACAUAUAUGCAAGUGUUUGGGUGGCAAACCCAUGCGCGUAAUGAAAGUGAACGUAGGUGCGAUCCGCAAGGUGCAGCAUCGACCGAUCUUGAUAUUUUUGGAUAGAUUUGAGUAAGAGCAUAUAUGCUGGGACCCGAAAGAUGGUGAACUAUGCCUGAAUAGGGUGAAGCCAGAGGAAACUCUGGUGGAGGCUCGUAGCGAUUCUGACGUGCAAAUCGAUCGUCAAAUUUGGGUAUAGGGGCGAAAGAC
rnacentral:rRNA from 1 species